rnacentral:rRNA from 1 species
UGGGGAAUAUUGCACAAUGGGCGCAAGCCUGAUGCAGCCAUGCCGCGUGUGUGAAGAAGGCCUUCGGGUUGUAAAGCACUUUCAGCGAGGAGGAAGGUGGUGAGCUUAAUACGCUCAUCAAUUGACGUUACUCGCAGAAGAAGCACCGGCUAACUCCGUGCCAGCAGCCGCGGUAAUACGGAGGGUGCAAGCGUUAAUCGGAAUUACUGGGCGUAAAGCGCACGCAGGCGGUUUGUUAAGUCAGAUGUGAAAUCCCCGGGCUCAACCUGGGAACUGCAUUUGAAACUGGCAAGCUAGAGUCUCGUAGAGGGGGGUAGAAUUCCAGGUGUAGCGGUGAAAUGCGUAGAGAUCUGGAGGAAUACCGGUGGCGAAGGCGGCCCCCUGGACGAAGACUGACGCUCAGGUGCGAAAAGCGUGGGGAGCAAAACAGGAUUAGAUACCCUGGUAGUCCAGCGCUGUAAACGAUGUCGAUUUUGGAGGUUGUGCCCUUGAGGCGUGGCUUCCGGAGCUAACGCGUUAAAUCGACCGCCUGGGGAGUACGGCCGCAAGGUUAAAACUU